CCCCGCCCCACCGCCACCGACCCUCAGCGGCGCACUUGCGUACGCGGCCUCCUGGGGGCGGGGCCAGAGACGGUGGGGCGCCGGUAAUGAAAGCCCAGAAGGAACGGAGGAGGCUGCUGUAGCUUUGCGUUAGAGGAAUGGGCGAGGUCGCUCAGUGGCCGCAGCAGCGGGGAGAGACCAGGCCCUUAAGAAAAUGAGAAGGCGGGAUGGGCGGAAAGGGUGGGAUAUCUGCAUAUGCAUAAGGGGUGGAGCCCAGCUCGGGGUGGGGGCUCAGCACAGCCCCUUCUCCCCUUCCCCCAAGGUAACGCUUUGUGGACACCUGAGCCGCAGACUCAGUAGUCCCGGAAAGUUGCGAAGGCCCUGGUGAGAGAAGCAGACCUACUCGUGCAAGCAAGUAACCCUACGAGUCCCGGGAAGGCAGGGCUGAUAAGAUCCGGACGGAGAAAACUCAAGGGCUCAGACUCCAAGCGGGUCGGGCUUGGGUCUGGAGACGGGACGGAGCAAGGGGCCGGAGUCCGACCGCUGCUAGACCCAGAGGUUCACUGAGACGUCCAGAGCAGCCUCCUGCGCCUCUGGAGCUCCUCGACGCUUCGCUGCAGCUCUUUGGUCAGAAAGUGGUUCUCGCCGAUCUUGGACCGGUAGCCUGGGAGGAGAGCAGAGCUGAGUUGGGCCAGUGAGCACCGGCAAGGCUUCCCCCACAGUGGGUACUGCCUGUAUGAUUUAAGGAGCCAUAGGUGAUUUGGAGUGGGAGCCACCCUGGGCGCUGGGGCCUGUGUAAGUUUGGGGAACUUUGGAUCCCCGCUUAGUGCGAAGGUGGAGGAGGAUGGUGAGGCCGGGCUGGAGAAGGUGCCACCGGCCUGAACCGGGGUGGAGCUAGCAGCUUUGUGGACAUCUCCUGGACUACCCACUCUAAAUACUCAUAUAGCCCUUUGGAUGUCACAUCAUGAACAUCAUGAUUUACCCAAAUAAUCCACUGUCCAAUAAAUUUACCUAAAUCCACUGA